rnacentral:lncRNA from 1 species
GCAUAAACAAGAUAGUUGGGAGGAGGUGGGGUUUUAAAUACUUAGGAAGACAAACAACCCCAUAAGGACUUUGGAAGCACUCAUUAUGUACAAAUAAUGUAUAUGCUAAUUACAAAUUACUCUUUUCUGCUCAUUAAAGCAGAACUGCUGCACUUUAUUAGUUCAGUUCUGGUUACUCUACACACUUGAAAGUAAUAAAAAUGACUCUGGGGUCAGGAAGACACAUGCAUAGGGCAAAGGGAGCCACUCAGGCAAUGUGAAUGGUCACUCAGGCCAGGGGCCAGGGCAUUGAGGACUCCUCCCUGUCCCUCCCACUGCCAUGUUCAGUCGGUCACCAAAUUCAGUCAAACCUACCUCCUUUCCUUCAUCUCCAGUAACACUGAGCUGAUUCAGGCCCCAUACCUCUUCCCUGACACCUCCUGGACAGCUGCACACACUGCCUCCCACUAGUCUCCCUAGCUUAAGUCUCCCCGCUUCCAGUUUAUCCCCCAAGAUGCUACUGGCAAAUCCACUCACUUAAAAUCGCCCUCUGCUUUCCCAUCACCACUGGAUAAAGCUCCAACCCCAUAGCUUGUCCAACCAUGACCCGGCUCCUAAACACCUCUGUGGCCUCAUCUCCCUGCACUUCACAACUGACAACAUUCAGUGACUCCCAGACAGUUUCCUGAGUCCCUCCUUCCUGUGGUUGAGACUUCUGGGUCUGGGUACACAUUUUUCCCCAAUCCCUAAAGUCCUCUCUUUACUAUUCCUGCUCCACUGGCUGGAUUGCAAGGUGGGCUCCUAUUUCACAUGGCAAAACCCUGCUCUGGGAAACCAUCCCCUAGUGUGUCUAGCAUAUCACUAAUUCCUCCACUUGCCUUACUCUGUCCUUUGCAUCCAAGCAUUUUGUUUCCUUAUUGCCUAUCUUCCUCCCCCACUAGACUGCAAGCAGAGGUCUUGCUUUAUUGACUGCUAAUUGCAUGCCCAGCACCUACAACAGUUGCUAGCAUACAACAGACAUUCAACAAAUAUGUGCUGAAUGAAAAAUUAAUUAAAAUCUGUAUUAUACUGCUCUUCAUAUCAUCACUGUAACUGUUAUAAUCUGCUUCACCCCUUGCAAUUAGGGUUUUAAAAUUAUUACUAAACACUAGCUUGAGCUGCCCUGCACCUCUUCACCCUAGGACCUCGGCUCUUGGAUAACUCCCAGUUCUUCUGUUAGUCAUCCCUGCUCUUUCCACAGGCCUGAGCAGCUAGAACUCAGAUUUAAAACCAAGGAUCAUACUAUGAAGAAGAACAGGAUGCCCUGGGAGCAGUAAUUGGACUGUUGUUUCAUGCUUAUUUGACAUAUUUCUGAAAAUGUCAACAGGGAGAGAUCAA